rnacentral:Y_RNA from 1 species
GGCUGGUCUGCUUGCAGUGGUGUGUACAACUGAUUGAUCACAGCCAGUUACAGAUUCCUUUGUUGCUUCUCCACUCCCACUGCUUCCUUUGACUCCCUUAA